rnacentral:rRNA from 1 species
AGAGUUUGAUCAUGGCUCAGAUUGAACGCUGGCGGCAGGCCUAACACAUGCAAGUCGAGCGGUAGAGAGAAGCUUGCUUCUCUUGAGAGCGGCGGACGGGUGAGUAAUGCCUAGGAAUCUGCCUGGUAGUGGGGGAUAACGUUCGGAAACGGACGCUAAUACCGCAUACGUCCUACGGGAGAAAGCAGGGGACCUUCGGGCCUUGCGCUAUCAGAUGAGCCUAGGUCGGAUUAGCUAGUUGGUGGGGUAAUGGCUCACCAAGGCGACGAUCCGUAACUGGUCUGAGAGGAUGAUCAGUCACACUGGAACUGAGACACGGUCCAGACUCCUACGGGAGGCAGCAGUGGGGAAUAUUGGACAAUGGGCGAAAGCCUGAUCCAGCCAUGCCGCGUGUGUGAAGAAGGUCUUCGGAUUGUAAAGCACUUUAAGUUGGGAGGAAGGGUUGUAGAUUAAUACUCUGCAAUUUUGACGUUACCGACAGAAUAAGCACCGGCUAACUCUGUGCCAGCAGCCGCGGUAAUACAGAGGGUGCAAGCGUUAAUCGGAAUUACUGGGCGUAAAGCG